AAAAGGAAAACCCCCACUAUCUUUCUUACGAACUUGGCGGAACGACGAAAGAUAGUGGGGGCCUCACAGAAUACGGGUAAAGUAUAAUGAAACCGUACCAGAGAUUCAACCCUGUGCAGUGUAUAAAUACACGGCACAAUCGCUCCGCCAU
rnacentral:ncRNA from 1 species